rnacentral:rRNA from 1 species
CCUACGGGAGGCAGCAGUGAGGAAUAUUGGUCAAUGGCCGUAAGGCUGAACCAGCCAAGUCGCGUGAAGGAAGAAGGAUCUAUGGUUUGUAAACUUCUUUUAUAGGGGAAUAAAGGUAUCCACGUGUGGAUAUUUGCAUGUACCCUAUGAAUAAGCAUCGGCUAACUCCGUGCCAGCAGCCGCGGUAAUACGGAGGAUGCGAGCGUUAUCCGGAUUUAUUGGGUUUAAAGGGUGCGUAGGUUGUUUUUUAAGUCAGCGGUGAAAGUUUGUGGCUCAACCAUAAAAUUGCCGUUGAAACUGGAAGACUUGAGUAUGGUUGAGGUAGGCGGAAUGCGUGGUGUAGCGGUGAAAUGCAUAGAUAUCACGCAGAACUCCGAUUGCGAAGGCAGCUUACUAAGCCAUAACUGACACUGAAGCACGAAAGCGUGGGGAGCAAACAGGAUUAGAUACCCUUGUAGUC